rnacentral:rRNA from 1 species
CGCAUCUGUGCAUGCAGCAUAUCAAUAAGCGGAGGAAAAGAAACUAACAAGGAUUCCCUCAGUAACGGCGAGUGAAGCGGGAAGAGCUCAAAUUUGAAAUCUUGAAAGGUCACCUUUCACGAAUUGUAGUUUAAAGAAGUGUUUUCUGUUACGAUCGUAAUAUAAGUUCUUUGGAAUAGGACAUCAUAGAGGGUGAGAAUCCCGUAUGAUUGACCGAUUAUUGUCAGCUUUGUGAUACACUUUCAAAGAGUCGGAUUGUUCGGAAUGCAGUCCAAAAUGGGAUGGUAAAUUUCAUCUAAGGCUAAAUAUUGGCGAGAGACCGAUAGCGAACGAGUACCGUGAGGGAAAGAUGAAAAGAACUUUGAAAAGAGAGUUAAAUAGUACGUGAAAUUGUCAAAAGGGAAGCGUUUAACACCAGUGUUGUUUUCUGAAAAUCAACCUCUGUUAGCUUUAUGCAUGUUUGUUUAGACCUAAUCAGCUAUCUUGCAUGUUCUAUUGUUUGCAGUGGUGCACCUUUCAGUUUAGCAGGUCAACAUCAGUUUUUUUUACCGUAAAAAAGUUAAAGAAAGGUAGCUCAUGGCUCCGGUCGUGAGUGUUAUAGUCUUUUUCCUAUGCGGUAGGAGAGACUGAGGUCUGCAGUGUAGGCUAUUUGGCUAGAUACUCAGGUGCUAUGUGAUACCAUUUCAUAAACAACUUGUUGAUUAUGUUUUGUCUAUUGCAUACUCGCUUGUACUAUCAGUACCUACGCUUAGGAUGUUGACGAUCAGCUGAGCGCG